rnacentral:rRNA from 1 species
UACGUAGGGGGCCAGCGUUGUCCGGAAUCAUUGGGCGUAAAGCGCGCGUAGGCGGCCAGGUAAGUCCGGUGUGAAAGUCAAAGGCUCAACCUUUGAAUGCCGCUGGAAACUGUCUGGCUCGAGUCCGGGAGGGGCGAGUGGAAUUCCUGGUGUAGCGGUGAAAUGCGCAGAUAUCAGGAGGAACACCAAUGGCGAAGGCAGCUCGCUGGAACGGAACUGACGCUGAGGCGCGAAAGCGUGGGGAGCGAACAGG